rnacentral:rRNA from 1 species
GAUGAACGCUGGCGGCGUGCCUAAUACAUGCAAGUCGAGCGAACAGACGAGGAGCUUGCUCCUCUGACGUUAGCGGCGGACGGGUGAGUAACACGUGGAUAACCUACCUAUAAGACUGGGAUAACUUCGGGAAACCGGAGCUAAUACCGGAUAAUAUAUUGAACCGCAUGGUUCAAUAGUGAAAGACGGUUUUGCUGUCACUUAUAGAUGGAUCCGCGCCGCAUUAGCUAGUUGGUAAGGUAACGGCUUACCAAGGCAACGAUGCGUAGCCGACCUGAGAGGGUGAUCCGCCACACUGGAACUGAGACACGGUCCAGACUCCUAAGGGAGGCCGCCGUAGGGAAUCUUCCGGAAUGGGCGAAAGCCUGACGGAGCAACGCCGCGUGAGUGAUGAAGGUCUUCGGAUCGUAAAACUCUGUUAUUAGGGAAGAACAAAAGUGUAAGUAACUAUGCACGGCUUGACGGUACCUAAACAGAAAGCCACGGCUAACUACGUG